AUUGAACGCUGGCGGCAGGCCUAACACAUGCAAGUCGAACGAGUGGCGGACGGGUGAGUAAUGACUGGGAAACUGCCGGAUGGAGGGGGAUGACUACUGGAAACGGUAGCUAAAACCGCAUACCAUCGGAUGUGCCCAGAUGGGAUUAGCUCGUAGGAGGGGUAAAGGCUCACCUAGGCGACGAUCCCUAGCUGGUCUGAGAGGAUGACCAGCCACACGGGAACGAAGACACGGCCCAUAAUCCUACGGGAGGCAGCAGUGGGGAAUAUUGGACAAUGGGCGCAAGCCUGAUGCAGCCAUGCCGCGUGUAGGAUGAAGGCCUUCGGGUUUUAAAGUACUUUCAGCGGGGAGGCGUUACCCGCAGAAGAAGCACCGGCUAACUCCGUGCCAGCCGCCGCGGUAAUUC
rnacentral:rRNA from 1 species